CGAAAAACACGAGCUUGUGUACGUGUCGUCCAAUUAUACGUUUGUUUUCCGAUGUACAUUGUGUUAGUAUGGACACGACCACAUGUGAUUAGUAAGUAGACCUAAAAUCUAAAAUCCCAAGUCAAUCUUCCUCAGCUCUCUGCGACUCCGCCUCCAACUCUCUGUCUCUCUCGGUCUCUCCCAGAAAUCGAUCUUCCUCAGCCCUCAGACCUAGUUAGUCCGUCCCUCUGUUCCUCACAGUCAAUCUCCCAGAAAUCGGUCUUCCUCACCUACGGCCUCUCAGCUUGCUCCUAGCCUUGACGAUCUUCUCCAAUCUCUCACUGCUCGCUUGCUCCUCUUCGCUUCAGGACCCCCAGAUCGCCAACGCCGAGUGUAGAAUGGAGACCUCUCAUAUCAUCAAGGUUUUCUUGACGUUAAAGGGGUUAAAUUGAUGCAUCUUGGGUUUUGAAGCUGCUACAUUUUAUGAACUGGACUGCGAGCUUUAUGACAUCGACAUCGACA